GGGGGCGACCCGCGGAUCCGAGGAAAUCCGCGGCGGGCGGGGGUGGGCCGAGUGCGGGGACCCGAGAGGGGCAGGGUCUACCAGACCCGGGAGUGAGGUAGGCGGGGAAGACGCGCGUGAGUUCUGGCAGCAGUUGGUCCGCGCCUGUUUGGGGUAAACGCGGUCCUGUACCGGCGGCCCCCUAGCUCCCAGCCCCACGGCCGUACCUCUCCGCGGCAGUUAGUCGCCUAAGCCCGGUGGCCACCGCGCAGUACCGAGUGUCCCAAGUUCCCGAACUAUGUUCCUUUUCUUCGAAGGCAUAAACUGCAAAGCACCACGUCAAGCCCUGCCGACUACCAGCAACCCCAGGCCCACCACUGGAUGCUUGACUGCAGACCCACAGACAGGAAGGAGGAAGGAGUCCUUCUUGAAUCAGAAAGACUGUUCUGCUAUAGACCUUAACCUGAGAAUUCUGAGGAGUCAUCCAGAAGCAGAAAACUGUAAGAAGACAGCUUCCACUCAAGACUAUCAGAAAAAACUAAAGACUGCAUGAAGGCAACAGCCCAAGACUCAUGGAACAUGGGAAGUCAGGGGACUGGCACUACACAUGGUCACAAGUCAAUUCGUAUGCAUGUUUUCUUAAUUUUCCUAGGUAUUUUCCUUUACCUCUUUGGUUUAAGGUUCUGGAUUGUUGACCCUUAUUACCUCUUAACUAUGGUACCUAAAAGCAAUGGUUUGCUGGAGCCAGAUAGAAUCAGCUUAGGAGAAUCAAUUGUUGAGUUGUCAGGAGUCUUGCAGAUUAAAUUCUCAGUAGCUUGAAAUCAGCCAGUGGAAACAUUUACACAGUGGAAAACAGAAAACUACAAAUCGGGGCCUCCCCCACUGCCACUCUCCCAGAGAACCUGUUGUUAAGCAUUUACCAGCACACCACUGCCUAGAAGGUCCCCCAACCUUAAUAUUGCCCUUUGCAUCCUUAGUCAUUCCCAAGCAUAUAUCCAGCUGACUAUGGUUUGCUUACAAUAUGGCUAACACGCCAUUAAACUGUUGAAUUUGCAUUCACUUUCCUUUGGGGACCACCCAGCUUCACCUGGUACCAGUUCCUAGCUAUCAGUUGGUUCUCUAGGUAACUGGACUGAACCACUAAGCAACUUUUUAGAUGGCAAACACCUCAUAGGUCAGACGACCAGAAAUCUGAAACUCCUUAUCACAUUCCACUAAAAAGGGAGAUUCCUAUCUCCACCUGUAAAUCUUUCACGAGUGCUAUAGACUUCGUAAAGAAAUUUUCACAGCCACAGAGCUUUACAAAGUCGGAAACAGACGGCGUACGCUCGGGGCUCAUCUCGCCUUAGCACGCUUUACAAGAUGGCGGACCACGCAGGCACAACCUGGAGCUCUCACACUUUAGAUCUAGCUCAUGAUUUCUCCACCUUAAAUUCAGUCACUGGACUAAUCUUGAUGAGGGACACCAUCACUCCAAGUGCCACAGGACAUCUUUACACCUCGGAAUUGUGGGCUAGGGUGAAAACUAGCUCCCAGUUCCUAUUGAACCUUGUGUGGCUCCAAAGCAAGAUGUUUCUUAUCAGAGAAAGAAGAAAAGACACAGAACAUUUCUCAAUCUUGUCUGGGAAGGGCAGGUGCCGCUGCUUGUCAGUACAAGCCUGGACAACUCAGCAUGGGCCUGUGUGUUUCUUUCCUCCCACUAGAAAACCAGAACUUCCGACACACGUGGAGUGAUCCAAACUGCUCAUUUUUGGCACAAGUUGUCCUUAUUCUGAACACUUAUAUUCUUUCUUUCUUUUUUUUUAAGGUUUUAUUUUUUUAUUUGAGAGAGAGAACACAAGCAGGGGGAGUUGCAGGCAGAGGGAGAGGGAGAAGCAGGCUCCCGAUGCAGGGCUCAAUCCCACGACCCCAGGAUCAUGACCUGAGCUGAAGGUAGAUGCUUAACCGACUGAGCCACCCAGGUGACCCUGAGCACUUACAUUCUUUCUCAAAUUUGUCUUAAAAAGAAGGCUUCAUUUCAGGCUGGACUGCUUUUCAGGUUGAAGAAAUUCAUGUGUUGAACAGUGAUGGUGUAAACUCUUGUGAAAUGCCACUUAAUUCCACUAAUUUUUUGUACAAUUAUUUAUUUAAGGUAUGUGUCUCCUGUAAAUUCUAUCAUUUAUUUAAGGUAUGUGUCUACCUUUAUUAUUCACUGUUGUAUCUCCUAUGCCUGGCUCAUAUAAUAGGCACUAUAUAUAAUGAGUUUAUUUUGAUAAUUCCAACUCAAAGUUAGCAUUAUAGUGUUUUUUCUUUUCUUUUCCUUUUUUUUUUUAAGAUAUUAUUUUUAAGUAAUCUCCACACCCAACAUGGGGCUUGAACUCAUGAUCCCAAAAUCGUCACAUGCUCUACCCACUGAGCCAGCAGGGCACCCCCACAGUGCCUUUUUUCCUUAUCUUCUUAACUUGGAAAUCUUGGCUCCUAAUAACAUUAAUAUUUCCUUAUAUGUUUUAUUAUAUAAUAUACAAAAGCACAAAACUACAAUAUUACUAACAAUAAACUUACCGAAUGCAGUUCAAAUUAUCUUUGUACUUUUAUUUGUUCUUAGACUUUAUAUGGGGAAAAUGUCACAGUGUUCUAUGUUCCAAAGUAACUUUAAAUAAUUAUUUUCUCAGGGUGCCUGGCUGGCUCAGUCAGUAGAGAAGUGACUCUUGAUCUUGGGGUUGUAAGUUCAAGCCCACAUUGGGUGUAGAGAUUAUUCAAAAAUAAAAUCUAAAAAAAAGCAAUAUUUUCUCAGUGUGAUUGGGUUUUAUACUCAGUUCCAUUCAUUUGCUUCUGUUUGUGUUCAAUUUUAGGUUCUUUUUUCUUAUUUCACUUAAUUUCAUUUUUUGAAUACUUUAAUCAUUUAUGUGGUUCAAAAGUCAAAGCUACAUAAAAAGG